rnacentral:rRNA from 1 species
UACGUAGGGUGCAAGCGUUAAUCGGAAUACUGGGCGUAAAGCGUGCGCAGGCGGUUAUGUAAGACAGGUGUGAAAUCCCAGGGCUUAACCUUGGAACUGCAUUUGUGACUGCAUAGCUAGAGUACGGUAGAGGGGGAUGGAAUUCCGCGUGUAGCAGUGAAAUGCGUAGAUAUGCGGAGGAACACCGAUGGCGAAGGCAAUCCCCUGGACCUGUACUGACGCUCAUGCACGAAAGCGUGGGGAGCAAACAGG